UCACAAAGGAUGGCACCAUCGCUGAUGUCUCACAUGUGUCGUUGCGUGAGUUCGUGAAUCUUUGUGAGUGGCUGACGAGUGCGGCUGGCAAGGAUGCCCUGCAGGCCGCGCCUUGAAGGAGGAAGUUGGCGAGGAAGCUACGUGCCUCCAGUGACCCUGUUGGGGCACGGUUGGCUCUGGCCAUGUCGUAUAUGGCCUCCGAGUAUCAGUCCGAGGCAAAGAAGGCGCACACUACGUUUGAGGCUAGGGUCUCCGAUCUACGCGGGGAGACACGAGAAUGAACCCACCAUUUCUUCUUCAGUAGCCUUGGUCUCCGAAAGACCAGGUGGGCACGAGGAUGGAGAACAACGAGAAGGCCAAGUCGUAUGAAGAGAGCGAAGAAGAGGAGAGGGAGAUAGAGAAGCAGCGUAGGAUCAAAUCCAUCGAAGUUUAAGCAUAUAGGAGGAAAGAACAUGAAUAUGUUUCCUUCAGUUUGGUUGACAUUAUUAAGGAUAGAGAGAUAUGUGGACAGUAUUGACUGCUGCAGUGGUCUUCUUACUCAGUUUGGCCUGAGAAUAGAGUUUUAACUCUUGCUUCUUGUGUGUAGAAGUAGAAGAUGUACGUUAGUUCUGUUAGUUUUUGUAGGGUUUUUGUGUACUUUGAGGGGAAGACUCUGUAACACUUAACAACCGGUUCUAAUAUAAAGUGGUAUUAAUCGCGUAA